UGACCUGGCGGCAGCUUACCAUGCAAGUCGAACGGUAGCAGGUUAGUACUUGUAAGAAUGCUGACGAGUGGCGGACGGGUGAGUAAAGCUUGGGAAUCUGUAUUAUGGAGGGGGAUAACGACGGGAAACUGUCGCUAAUACCGCGUAGAAUCGGAAGAUGAAAGGGUGGGACCUUUAGGCCACCCGCCAUAGAGUGAGCCCAAGUGGGAUUAGGUAGUUGGUGGGGUAAAGGCCUACCAAGCCGACGAUCUCUAGCCGGUCUGAGAGGAUGACCGGCCACACCGGGACUGAGACACGGCCCGGACUCCUACGGGAGGCAGCAGUGGGGAAUAUUGCGCAAUGGGGGGAACCCUGACGCAGCCAUGCCGCGUGAAUGAAGAAGGCCUUCGGGUUGUAAAGUUCUUUCGGUGGUGAGGAAGGUGUUUGUUUUGAUAGAACAAUCAAUUGACGUUAAUCACAGAAGAAGCACCGGCUAACUCCGUGCCAGCAGCCGCGGUAAU
rnacentral:rRNA from 1 species